CACGUGGGGGACGAGCGUUGUCCGGAAUCAUUGGGCGUAAAGGGCGCGUAGGCGGUUGGAUAAGUCUUGUGUGAAAUCUUCGGGCUCAACUCGAAGUCUGCACGAGAAACUAUCUGGCUUGAGUGUGGGAGAGGUGAGUGGAAUUCCUGGUGUAGCGGUGAAAUGCGUAGAUAUCAGGAGGAACACCUGUGGCGAAAGCGGCUCACUGGACCACAACUGACGCUGAGGCGCGAAAGCUAGGGGAGCAAACAGG
rnacentral:rRNA from 1 species